UACGAAGGGGGCUAGCGUUGUUCGGAAUUACUGGGCGUAAAGCGCACGUAGGCGGGUUGUUAAGUCAGGGGUGAAAUCCUGGAGCUCAACUCCAGAACUGCCCUUGAUACUGGCAACCUAGAGACUGGAAGAGGUUAGUGGAAUUCCCAGUGUAGAGGUGAAAUUCGUAGAUAUUGGGAAGAACACCAGUGGCGAAGGCGGCUAACUGGUCCAGCACUGACGCUGAGGUGCGAAAGCGUGGGGAGCAAACAGG
rnacentral:rRNA from 1 species